UGACUUGGACGAAACGGCAUUGUUGGGAUAAAUUUAUUCCCUCUCUUUUUACAACUGCUUUCUCCCUCGUUUUUCAACAUGUUAAAUUAGGGUUUGAGCUUAAAAAUCCCAUUCUGCGAUCUUUCUCUCCCGCUUAAUGCGAAAUUGAUUCUCUAUGUACAUGCUUGAAGAAUGAUGGAAAUCCCAGCUGAUUAUAUCGUUCCCAAUUGCUAUUGUCAUCAAACAACAGUGUUGAAGGUGUCUUGGACUGAGAUGCUUGGUGAGUGCAAUUUCAUGAUCCACCAAUGCCAAAUCAUAUUCAGCAUGUGAUUUUAGGACUGCUUAGAAGAAUUAGAGAAUAUGAAGAACAUAGGAAGAUGACAAAUGCAAUGUGGUCGAGGAUGGUUGUUGGGUUCUAUAUUUUGUUUGUUAUUGUAACAAUUAGAGAAGUGAUUAGAGGUUGAUGAUGGAUUGUUGAUGUUGUUGUAGAUGGAAAAUGAGGUCUAAUAUUUUGAUACUUUUUUUAACCCAA